GCCUUCGUGGUGCAGUGGUCAGCACACUUGGCACGGAUUCAAGAGGACUGUGGUUCGAGUCCUGGAGAGGGCA
rnacentral:tRNA from 1 species